rnacentral:lncRNA from 1 species
AUUCUAUGAUUCUAUGAAGUUUGAUUGAUAUUAUCAGACUUGAAUUCAAAUAUGAGGGCGUAAAAAGCGAGAACGAUGGGUUUGUACUUUCUGCCCUCUGGGCCUCAGGAGCUUGCUUUGAGUUGUAGGACCCAGAGUGCUAGUAUGUAGGUUUAUGCUUUUUCCCUAAACCUUGUUUCUUUCUGCAGGGCACAGUGGGGGGGAUUGUGUUUCUAAUACCCUGAGGAGGAAAAGAUUUUGGAUCUAAACCUUUAGUUCCUAAGAGGUAGAAAUGAGUAUCUUUGAAAAGCAAGACCCAGGCUUGGGCCUCAAAGGAGAGAGUGGUGAGUCUGCAGCCGCGCGGGCUGCAGGGCAAAGGAUAGCCAGCUGCAGGAUCCACUCAGGAGGCUGCACCCACAGGAAGGAAACAAGUCAUGAGACAACCCUCUUGGCCAAAUACUCUGGCUUUAAUUUUUCAUCAUGCUUUUGGCUAUGCCCAGAUCUGAAGUUGGAAAAGCAAAUCGUGCCUUGAUGCUGUUAGAACUACAUCUUCAGGUAGGGUAAUUAAGCUUGUGUAGAAAUGGUAAUUCCUAAAGGGUAUUAGUUUAAAACUUAAGGUGUAUGGCAGGGUUUCUGGAAAUUUUAGUGACAAUAUAGUAUCAAACAAUGUGACACUUCAAGAAUAACUCCAAGAAUAACACUUUAUUAGUAGAAGCUUGAUGUGACAUGAUGAUUGCAGAUACAGUGCUGACAACAAAUUCCUUUGCAUUUUUCAAAUUAGUAAAUCAGUCUACACAAAGAAUGUUUUUAAGCAUGGAUAUAUACAAUAGACAAAUCUGAGUCUUGUACUGUGUGGACAUUUCUUGGAUAACGCUGUAAAAACAUUGCAUUGUUUGGACUGUGAAAUCACAGUGCUUACAAAUAAUCUUUUAUGUCAUCAGUAUCUAUCUGUUCACAUGUCUCUGCACCCCUCCCCAGAUACAAACCAUAUUAGAUAUAGCUGUAAUAUUUACAUGGAAAAGCAAUGUAAGAGUGAUGUAAAAAAAAACAGUACUAUUUUUUAUUGGUCCCAAUGUUUGCAAAAUCAUCUUAAAAACUGCUUAUUUUCCCUUUGCUUCUGUACUGGCUGUUGGCUUGCAGUUGAUGGGCAGAUGUAUUUCAUACAUGGUACCCAUUAGUGAGCAAAGUAGGUCAGAGCUGCUGUGUGUACGUGCAUAUACAUGCUGCAAGUUCACUGAAGCUUUUUGUUGCUGAUUCAGAAAGAAGCAAAAACUUACGGUUACAGUUGUGUGUCCCGCUUCCAGCUCACCCUUAAGGUUAAACUUAACACAAAUACUUGCUUAGCCCUGGUGAAAUCUGCCAGUGCAGCUUCCCUCCAAGAGUCUACUGUGCUGGUUCCUUUCUUCCCUUGCCUUCAGCCUGGGAGGUACAAGCAUUGCCAGCCCAGCAAAGCCACAAGCUUUGAUUCUGCUUCCUGAGACCAGAAGGUGGAGGCCUGUAUUACAAUAUUCUUUGGUUUCAUCUCGUUGGUU